GGAUGAACGCUGGCGGCGUGCCUAAUACAUGCAAGUCGAGCGAACAGCUAAGGAGCUUGCUCCUUUGACGUUAGCGGCGGACGGGUGAGUAACACGUGGAUAACCUACCUAUAAGACUGGGAUAACUUCGGGAAACCGGAGCUAAUACCGGAUAACAUAUUGAACCGCAUGGUUCAAUAGUGAAAGGCGGCUUUGCUGUCACUUAUAGAUGUAUCCGCGCCGUAUUAGCUAGUUGGUAAGGUAACGGCUUACCAAGGCAACGAUACGUAGCCGACCUGAGAGGGUGAUCGGCCACACUGGAACUGGGAAACGGUCCAGACGCCUAAGGGAGGCAGCAGUAGGGAAUCUUCCGCAAUGGGCGAAAGCCUGACGGAGCAACGGCGCGUGAGUGAUGAAGGUCUUCGGAUCGUAAAACUCUGUUAUCAGGGAAGAACAAAUGUGUAAGUAACUGUGCACAGCUUGACGGUACCUGAUCAGAAAGCCACGGCUAACUACGUG
rnacentral:rRNA from 1 species